ACAGUGCAAUGGUGGCCUUCGAGGCGUCUUGCCCCCUUGCUCAGCAGCUGCCUCUCUCAUCUGAAAAGAGGGAGGCGCGUCUUCUGGUGCUGGUGACUUGCCCAAGAGUGCGGGACCAAAAGAACGGGACUUUCUGAGAUCCACUCAGAAGCCAGCAUGGCUUCUGCAAUUCAGGGAUGUCCCACUCAAAUUGGGACAGUUGAGUGGUAUGGCAUUUUACUAUACUUUGCAUGUGUUAAAAUAAAAAGGGGAUUAAAAGAAAGACUUCCCCACCCCCAUUGUCAUUCAUUGUCAAAACAGCAGGUGCUUACAGUGGAGAGCACCUCUCUUUGGAGAAUAUAAGUCUGAACACCCACAUUCUUUUUUCUUCUUGUGAUCAAAAGAUGGAUCUUAGUUAUUCUGUUUGUUCAGUUCUGGACCUCUAAAUUUGGAAACAGAUCACAAUUUUGCCAUAAUAUGAAGCAGAUGGCAUUCAGACUGUAAUCUACUGGAAACUGAGCUGAACCAUCAAAUUCAUUUUGAUUGUAAUCCCAAACAGUUGAAACACAGUUCUACAAAGGAAAUUUAAAUACAUUUAAGCCAGUCAAGGUAUUUUCAUUUUCUUGUGUGUUCCGUAGGUAUCUCAACGGGGGGAGGGGGAGAGAGAACUUGGUAGUUAAUACCUUUUACUUUAUGGAAGUUCUUUUUAAAUAAGUGACUGAAAGGCAGCUUAACCCCUUUGAACAUUUCUACAUUUGAAGCUAUAAGGACAUAAGAACUGCUUUGCUGGAUCAGACCAAGAGUCCAUCUCAUCUAGCACUCUGUUUUAAACACUCAGCCUUUAGAAACUCACGAAGCAGGAUAUGAAGGCAACAUGAAUCCGCUGCAAUUUGUCCCCUGCAUCUGGUAAACAAAGGGAUAUUGCCUCUGAACAUGAAAUAACACAGGGACCAGUUUUAUAGCUUGGUUGUACUACUCUUAUUUAUAAAUAAAUAAAUAAAUGCCCUUCGUUAGCAUUUCAAAAUAUUAUCCUUAAUUACUCCGUAAAAUGAGCAUGUAAUUGUGAUGUAUGGAAAUGCAAAUUACGAUAUUCUGCUAUUUCACUUUGUACAUUAGUAAACGCCAAGCAGCUUAUUUUUAUGCCUUUUUUACAGUCUCCCCAUGACAUGUAUUCUGCCAGAUAAUAUGAAUCUUGUUUGAGUUCAAAAGUAGCCACAGAUUAGCAAUAUUCAUGAAAGACGUAAACACACAUUUGAGUUGGAGCUUAAUUUCUCUUCAGACAGGAUCACAUGCUUUGUUCAGAAACUGCACUGUGUUACAAAUUCCAAAGUGGAAACAGAAUGCCUUAUUUGAAAGUGAUUUUUUCCUCCAUGUAGCCUAGAAUGCUUACCCCCAUAAUUAUCAUUAAAAGCUUAUAUAAUUACAUAUUGCAAGUAUAGCUGGAACAAGUCAAUGCAUUGAAACACUCUCUCUCACCUGUGAUUAUUCUUGUAACAGACUCAGUUCAAUAAUGCUCUUCCAAAUUACAAUACUUAAGAACACUUUAUACCUGACAUUUUUCAGACCAUUUCAAUGUUUAGCAAAACAGCCCACAACAAAGGGAAGGAGCUCUGAAGGAGCAGGCAUGAGGCUUGAGGGAACUCCAGGCUCCACUGCUGUUGCUUCAGGCUCAGGGGGUCUCUCUAGGGCAGAAUGCCUUCCAUCAGCCUUGACUGGUGGCAAAAAAGGCACAAAUUACUGGUAUUGGUAACAAAUAAAACACAUUUCAAAAGCUUUUUAAGAACCCAGAGCUAGCCGUUCAUAAAAGUGUCUUACCCAAGUGUUACAACUGAGCUUUUCCUAAAGACAGGACUGAGUCUAAACCUUAAUGAGUCUACUUUUAAACUUAUAUGGAUCAGCAAUAAUAUCUAAUCUAAAAAAAACGUCCUGGCUCAUCACUCUCAAGUGAUAAAUUGUCUGAAGUCCAGUUUUGUCAUCUAUAUGUCAGCAUUUUCUGAACAAUGGGUUUCCACCAAAUUUCAUAACAAAAUAUGUGACUACAGGUCAGGGAUGAGUUGCCUACCUAAUAAGCCCCCAAUAUAACUGCUUUAAAGCUCCAAAAAGAUUUCCCCUAUGUGAUCAACUUGUCACGUCCGCAUACAAUAUUAAGCAAUAUCAGCUAUAAAUGUGACUAAGGCUUUCCUGUUCCCAAGGUAUUUUAAGGUAGCGUUUGGUUUUACGUUACUGUUUUUUAUUCUCCCAUUUACUAGGGAGUGUUUUUAUGUACACUUACAAAUGCAAAUAAUUAAGCAGUAUAUAAAUGUCUGAAGUAAACAGGCAAACCCACACUCCUUCCUCUUGAGCCUUGCUCUUAUUUAGGUAGGAAUGACGCAUGUGAACAAAUAACUAUGUUGGCAGAUAAAAAUCACCAAGCUGAGAGUUCAGAGGUAAAAGAUACAGUGAGCUGCAGAGGCUGGCAUGGAAAACUGAAAAACUGAAGCAAUAAAAAAAGAGCAUGAAAUAAGAGAAGAGGGGGAGGGAGAAGCAAAGGCCAGGUGGUCCCUUUUAAAAUGUCUGUUUUUGUUUAGAAUCACAGUCUUAGGAAAUGAUGAUAAAAAUACUUAAUGCUGUUUUAAGGGUGAAAUAACUUUGAAUUGUUAAUCAAAUUUAUAUUGUUGCUGGUGAAAUCAGCCUCAGCAAUGAAUAUUUGAUUUCUAUACAAAGUAAUAGCAUACCCUCCAACAUUUCUCUGAUGAAAAUAGGGCCAUCCUAUUCCAUAAUAACAAUUUUACUAUUUAUACCCCAUCCAUUAGACUGGGCUGCCCCAGCCGCUCUAGGCAGCUUGUAACAUAUACAAAAACAUUAAACAUUAAAAAAACCUUCCCUAUAAAGGGCUGUCUUCAGAUGGCUAAGGGGUUGGAUAACUCCAUAUCCUGCGCCGUUUCUCCAAUGAAAGUGGGGAUGUCCUAAGGAAAAGCGGUAUGUUCCGGGAUCAAAUCAGAAACUGGGACAGUUUUUGUAAAUCCAGGACUGUCCCUGGAAAAUUAGGGACAAUAGGAAGGUCUGUAAUAGGGAAGGUUGACCCAUGCAACACGGAAACAUCAGGUGUUGGUUUACAUUUGCAACUGAGCCAUUGGGUCAUUUCCAGAGUAGAGACAAAAAGAAAACAAAGGCAACAUGAAUGGACAUGUCAUUUGGGCUUUGCAGAGAGAUAAUGGUGGACUGACAUAAGUUACGUAAACAGAAAUAACAAGCAACUGAAAAUCAACACAUCGGCCCCAGUUCCCCGGGCAGCUUUCAGAACUGAGAUCCAGCCUGUGACCCACCCCAUUCAACUUAAUGAAACAUUGGGUUGCAAAGGAUUCAGUGCACAGGAUUUGCCAUGAUCUCUGAAGAUGUUUGUGUAUUUGUUGUUGUUGUUUAGUCAUUUAGUCGUGUCCGCCUCUUCGUGGCCCCAUGGACCAGAGCACGCCAGGCACUCCUGUCUUCCACUGUCUCCCGCAGUUUGUUCAAACUCAUGCUGGUAGCUUCGAGAACACUGUCCAACCAUCUCGUCCUCUGUCAUCCCCUUCUCCUUGUGCCCUCCAUCUUUCCCAACAUCAGGGUCUUUUCCAGGGAGUCUUCUCUUCUCAUGAGGUGGCCAAAGUCUUGGAACCUCAGCUUCAGGAUCUGUCCUUCCAGUGAACACCCAGGGCUGAUUUCCUUCAGAAUGGAUAGGUUUGAUCUUCUUGCAGUCCAUGGGACUCUCUAGAGUCUCCUCCAGCAUCAAAAGCAUCAAUUCUUCAGUGAUCAGCCUUCCUUAUGGUCCAGCUCGCACUUCCAUACAUCACUACUGGGAAAACCAUAGCUUUAACUAUACGCACCUUUGUCGGCAAGGUGAUGUCUCUGCUUUUUAAGAUGGUUUUUGUUGCUGCCUCCUAUAUAAUGUUUGUGUAUAAUUCUCAACCAAAAAACUGAGAAUCGGCAGCACCCUUUUUGCCACCUUCUGUCCUGCUGCCAGGGCACUGAAACACUGGGAGGUAUACUUCAUAGAAGAAUAGAAUUGGGAGGGACCAUUAGGGUCAUCUAGUUUAACCACCCACAAUGCAGGAAUCUUGUACUAUAUCGAUCCCUCCAGUGUUAUUUUGGAAAUAUUUUUGUUGAAAAUGUCCAUUCGUCGUCGUCUUCUUCUUCUUCUUCUUCUUCUUCUUCUUCUUCUUCUUCUUUUGUCAAUGUGAUGGUACAUUUUCUUUCCUGCCCAUUUUAAAAGAAACAGAGCUGUUUUCUAGAUCCCCUGCCUAAGCUGAGAUGAGCUAUGUGCACAGGUGGUUAAAUGUAUUAAGAGGAUGCCUUAUGGCUCCUUUUCUUGCUCAGCUGUAAUCAGUGCAGAAAAAGCGGGGAGGGGGGACAAUUUAAAAGGGAAAAAAAAUGAAUCAGUUCAGCAAUUGUCAACAUCUGUGAGGAAAAAAUACUCAGUAGAAAAAACCCAGCUGACAAGAAGAAUUAGCACAGACAGGAAGUCUCUUCACUUUCAUUCUGAUAGAAGAAAGAGGAGAGACUCAUGAUGCAAGCAAUAUGCAUUUGUCAAUAUUUCAGCAAAAAUGCUUUGUGUAAACCCCAUCAAUUUCUUAUGACAUGUAUGCAUGUAUGUACUGAGGCUUCAAGCCUGCGUCCUGCUGAAUCUAAGGGGCUCAGGAUAGGGAUAAUUGCUGCCAUUCUUGUUCUUGAUAAUAAUUCAUUUACAGCAUAGCAGGGGGUUGGACUAGAUGACCCUCGGGGUAACUUCCAUCACCACAACUCUAUGAUUCUGUAGCAGGGCAUCCUGCACAUUUUAAUUCAGAAGUAAAUCCCACUUGUUCAGUGGUGCUUACUCUCUAGUGUUUAAGAUGCAGCUUAAAUAGAUCACUUCAUAAAAUAGAUAAUAAUUCUAAGAAUAUCUGGAAUUCUUGAAUCUACAGAAAUAUGUAAGGGCAAAUGUGGACAUUCUCCUUGGGCAAAAUAAUCCAG
rnacentral:lncRNA from 1 species